rnacentral:rRNA from 1 species
UACGUAGGCAGCGAGCGUUGUUCGGAGUUACUGGGCGUAAAGGGUGUGUAGGCGGUCCUCUAAGUUUGGUGUGAAAUCUCCCGGCUCAACCGGGAGGGUGCGCCGAAAACUGGAGGGCUAGAGUGCGGGAAGGGAGAGUGGAAUUCCUGGUGUAGCGGUGAAAUGCGCAGAUAUCAGGAGGAACACCAAUUGCGAAGGCAGCUCGCUGGGACGUAACUGACGCUGAGACGCGAAAGCGUGGGGAGCAAACAGG